UUUAAUAUCAGAUUCGAAUCAAUGAAUGUUAUUCACGAUUAAUUAGAGAAAAAAAAAUAUUAAAUCUCACCCUGUUUCCUUCUGUUAAGGUCAACCAGGUCCGAUAUCGUUCUUUUUGCUCACCUAAUUUCAUGCCACACCCUCAUUUGCAUAUUCCUAAUAUCCUUAAGGGACAAAAACUUCUAUCACCUUAAGAUAUUUUUGAAUGUCCCACGCGCAAAUGACCAUGAAAAUGAAUAUUUUUCUUGGUGUUUGACGAAGAUGUCAAGUGAGAUGCUUGGGAUGGGAUUUUUGGUAUAAAUAGGAGGCUUUAGGGCUCCUAAAAUCAUCCUCUGUCCUCCAGUUGCUAUCACAACUUCAAAUCCAACCAGCACCAUGAGAUUCAUCAUUGCUUCAUUGUUGCUUGCCUCUGUGGCUAUGGCUGCCGAUAUGGGCAUGAGCAUUGCUGGAUAUUCUAAAACUAAUUUUCUAAACAAAGCAGAAAAACUAAAUUAAAGGCGAAAUUUGAAUUUCAUUUAUUCUUCUUUUGUUUCCAACAGAUCAUUGCUUCACUGUUGCUUGCCUCUGUGGCUAUGGCUGCCGAUAUGGGCA
rnacentral:misc_RNA from 1 species